AAGUCGUAGCAAGGUCUCCGUUGGUGAACCAGCGGAGGGAUCAUUACUGAGUGUUAAAACUCCAAACCUUUGUGAACAUACUACUGUUGCUUCGGCGGCCUCGCCCCGCGGCGCGCACUGCGUGACCCGGGCCAAGGCGACCGCCGGAGGCACCAAACCCUGUCUUUAUAGUGGAUUUCUGAGUGGCAUAAGCAAAUAAAUCAAAACUUUCAGCAACGGAUCUCUUGGUUCUGGCAUCGAUGAAGAACGCAGCAAAAUGCGAUAAGUAAUGUGAAUUGCAGGAUUCAGUGAAUCAUCGAGUCUUUGAACGCACAUUGCGCCCGCCAGUACUCUGGCGGGCAUGCCUGUCUGAGCGUCAUUUCAACCCUCAGGACCCGUUCGCGGGACCUGGCGUUGGGGAUCAGCCCUCCGGGGCUGGCCCUUAAAUCUAGUGGCGGUCCUCACGCGACCUCCUCUGUGCAGUAGUAAUACCUCGCAGCUGGAAAAGCGUAAGGGCCACGCCGUAAAACCCCCUACUUCUCAAGGUUGACCUCAGAUCAGGUAGGAAUACCCGCUGAACUUAA
rnacentral:rRNA from 1 species